rnacentral:rRNA from 1 species
CGGGGUGAGUAAUGCUGGGAAACUGCCUGAUGGAGGGGGAUAACUGCUGGAAACGGUAGCUAAUACCGCAUAACGUCGCAAGACCAAAGAGGGGGACCUUCGGGCCUCUUGCCAUCGGAUGUGCCCAGAUGGGAUUAGCUAGUAGGUGGGGUAACGGCUCACCUAGGCGACGAUCCCUAGCUGGUCUGAGAGGAUGGCCAGCCACACUGGAACUGAGACACGGUCCAG